rnacentral:rRNA from 1 species
UACGUAGGGGGCAAGCGUUGUCCGGAUUUAUUGGGCGUAAAGAGCGUGUAGGCGGCCAGAUAGGUCAGCUGUGAAAACUCGAGGCUCAACCUCGAGACGUCGGUUGAAACCAUCUGGCUAGAGUCCGGAAGAGGAGAGUGGAAUUCCCGGUGUAGCGGUGAAAUGCGCAGAUAUCGGGAAGAACACCCGUGGCGAAGGCGGCUCUCUGGGACGGUACUGACGCUGAGGCGCGAAAGCGUGGGGAGCGAACAGG